CUAAUCUCAUGGCCAUGUUUUUAACCAGAAACCUAUACUCUGUUCGGUUCUACCGACAAUGUCAAGGCUUUCAGACAGUUGUUGCAGAGAUGAAAACAUUCUCAUACAAGGGAGAAAGCAUGUAUACAAGGGUUAUAAGUUAUAACCCGAAUAUCGGUCCGACCCAUGAUCAUACAGGAGAACCAGAAAGCAGAGGACCUAACCAUCACUGCUAUAACUUGUCCCAGACCUGUGUGAAGAAUGUUAGCUUCGAAAGUGUUUGCCAUGCAAAGCAAUCUGUUCCGGUAAGAAGGAUAGAAAGGGGGGACCCAUAGUGGUUUCAUAGACUAAAUGCCUUUUUCCCUCUUCUGAAAAAGAUUCCAAGCAAAAGAGGGUUUCAGCAUCAGAAACCAAAUCUGGUGGAGUUUUCCUCGUUUUUGGUCCUUAAUCACUAUGAAACCAAUGCGCCACUUCACCCUGUUUUGUCCAAAAUUUACACAAAUUCUGAAACUUUUUUGCUGUGGACUGUUAUUAAAUUUUGAAACUUUAGGUGGUUGGAAGUUAAAACCCAUCAUGGUAGUAGAUUC